CAGGCUUAACACAUGCAAGUCGAGGGGCAGCAUGGUCUUAGCUUGCUAAGGCCGAUGGCGACCGGCGCACGGGUGAGUAACACGUAUCCAACCUGCCGUCUACUCUUGGACAGCCUUCUGAAAGGAAGAUUAAUACAAGAUGGCAUCAUGAGUCCGCAUGUUCACAUGAUUAAAGGUAUUCCGGUAGACGAUGGGGAUGCGUUCCAUUAAAUAGUAGGCGGGGUAACGGCCCACCUAGUCUUCGAUGGAUAGGGGUUCUGAGAGGAAGGUCCCCCACAUUGGAACUGAGACACGGUCCAAACUCCUACGGGAGGCAGCAGUGAGGAAUAUUGGUCAAUGGGCGAGAGCCUGAACCAGCCAAGUAGCGUGAAGGAUGACUGCCCUAUGGGUUGUAAACUUCUUUUAUAAAGGAAUAAAGUCGGGUAUGGAUACCCGUUUGCAUGUACUUUAUGAAUAAGGAUCGGCUAACUCCGUGCCAGCAGCCGCGGUAAUACGGAGGAUCCGAGCGUUAUCCGGAUUUAUUGGGUUUAAAGGGAGCGUAGAUGGAUGUUUAAGUCAGUUGUGAAAGUUUGCGGCUCAACCGUAAAAUUGCAGUUGAUACUGGAUAUCUUGAGUGCAGUUGAGGCAGGCGGAAUUCGUGGUGUAGCGGUGAAAUGCUUAGAUAUCACGAAGAACUCCGAUUGCGAAGGCAGCCUGCUAAGCUGCAACUGACAUUGAGGCUCGAAAGUGUGGGUAUCAAACAGGAUUAGAUACCCUGGUAGUCCACACGGUAAACGAUGAAUACUCGCUGUUUGCGAUAUACUGCAAGCGGCCAAGCGAAAGCGUUAAGUAUUCCACCUGGGGAGUACGCCGGCAACGGUGAAACUCAAAGGAAUUGACGGGGGCCCGCACAAGCGGAGGAACAUGUGGUUUAAUUCGAUGAUACGCGAGGAACCUUACCCGGGCUUAAAUUGCAGAUGAAUUACGGUGAAAGCCGUAAGCCGCAAGGCAUCUGUGAAGGUGCUGCAUGGUUGUCGUCAGCUCGUGCCGUGAGGUGUCGGCUUAAGUGCCAUAACGAGCGCAACCCUUGUUGUCAGUUACUAACAGGUUCCGCUGAGGACUCUGACAAGACUGCCAUCGUAAGAUGUGAGGAAGGUGGGGAUGACGUCAAAUCAGCACGGCCCUUACGUCCGGGGCUACACACGUGUUACAAUGGGGGGUACAGAGGGCCGCUACCACGCGAGUGGAUGCCAAUCCCCAAAACCUCUCUCAGUUCGGACUGGAGUCUGCAACCCGACUCCACGAAGCUGGAUUCGCUAGUAAUCGCGCAUCAGCCACGGCGCGGUGAAUACGUUCCCGGGCCUUGUACACACCGCCCGUCAAGCCAUGGGAGCCGGGGGUACCUGAAGUGCGUAACCGCGAGGAGCGCCCUAGGGUAAAACUGGUGACUGGG
rnacentral:rRNA from 1 species